rnacentral:rRNA from 1 species
GAUUAAGUUAUUAAGGGCGCACGGUGGAUGCCUUGGCACUAGAAGCCGACGAAGGACGUUACUAACGACGAUAUGCUUUGGGGAGCUGUAAGUAAGCUUUGAUCCAA